UACCUUGGAUAGUUGGAUCCUUGGCGGUUGAUACAAUCAAUACCCCAACUCACCGCUAUAAGUAAAGCAAGUGAACUUUCCCCAUUUCCCUACACAAUUCCACUUCCUUCCUUUGUCUGAGCAACUCGACUACUCGAGGUACACAUUCCCCAUUUUCCAGGUAGUCAUUUCCCAGAUCAAUGGACAAGAUCAUUCAUCACGCUCGACUUACACAUUCAAUAUUGGAAAGAUGAGGAUCAAGCUCUGUAGAGGAUGGAUCACAAAGUGCAGAGAAAACUAUUCCACAUCAAUGCUGCUAUGUGGAGCUAGAGGCCAGGCAAAUGCUCCGGCCAAGUCAUUGUUUUGGCAACCGAAGAAAGAGCUCUCCUCUGUAUUAAUAUUUGAAUCAGAUAAGGAAACAAAUGCAACUAUCAUGGUUGCAUGAAAGCACGCUCUCGAUUGUAACGUGAUGCUGGGAGGACCAGAUGAUGAAAUGUAGAAGUUAAAAAAAUAUUUAUCUAACUGAGAGAGUCUUUAUAAAUGAGAUAAAAAACAAGGGGUUUAAUUGUAUGGUGUGUUUGGUGAUGAGGGAGAAGAAUAUGAAAAAUUGGGGUUUGACCCUUUGGGUUUCUACUAAUUUGGUUGGUUAAUGGCAUUGUUAAGGCAGUGUUUUUGGGUUUGCCUAAUCACCAGUUGUAACAUGUUUUUGCUUUUCUUUUUCAAUUGAUUUGAUUGCUUGAUUUG